rnacentral:tRNA from 2 species
AAGGUUUUAAGUUAAAAAAACUAAUAAUCUUCAAAAUUAUAUAUAAAGAACUAUUCUUUAAGCCUUA